rnacentral:lncRNA from 1 species
ACGUAUUGUCCCCUCAUCUUCUUCCAAGUAUUGGUGAUUCUCAUCUCUUUUAAAUCCCAGCAUUUAGAAAGAGUUGAAAGGAAACGCACCCUAGAUCAGGCCCCUUAGUCAUGCUGACUUGCCAAUGCAGCCUUGAAGAUGAACUACAAAUCAGGAAGCAGCUAGAAGUGGUGGGAACAGCAAUCAUGUUAGCCACAGAAGGGGAACAAACACAUAUAUUCAAGGCAAGCCCUGGAGUAACAUUGCUCUCACCCUCUCUCAAGCCCUUCUGCGUUCCUGAGCGGGAGGAGAAGGGGUGGAUAUGCUGCCUGCCUAUAGCUCUGGGCGUGCCUGUGGGACUGGGAGGUGCACACCAACGUCAUCUUUCUUUUGCUUUAAGGUGAAAAAUUGCUCCCGUUGCACAGCUUCAGUCAGUCAUGUAAUAUUUGCGGAUGUAAGGACUCAGCUAAAGUAUUAUGUGAAGUGUCAGCUGCCGGAAUGUGGGGUGGAUUUAUCUGUGUAAUAUGGAGUUGUCUUAUUUAAAUGUGUGCUUUCUAUACGAUUUCUAUAAGAACAUUUCCCUGCGUAUUCAGGGAUUCUCCAUUGUUCUGUACAGGCAUCAGGGGAGUAUUUGCCCUUGUUCAUUCAUUCGUUCCUUUUUUCUUCUUCCUCCCUCCCUCCCUCCUUAACUUCCUCCCUCCCUCCCUCCUCCCUUCCUUCUCCCCUUCCUUCCUUCCUUCUGUCCCUGGGGGUAAAUAUACAAAAUUAUACACUAUUACUUAUUUCUUUUUUUCUUUUUUUUUUUUUGAGGAAGAUCAGCCCUGAGCUAACUGCUGCCAAUCUUCCUCUUUUUGCUUAGGAAGAUUGGCCCUGAGCUAAUAUCUGUGCCCAUCUUCCUCUGCUUUAUAUGUGGGACGCCUACCACAGCAUGGCUUGCCAAGAGGUGCCAUGUCCGCACCCGGGAUCCGAACUGGAGAACCCCAGGCCGCCGAGAAGUGGAACGUGGGAACUUAACCGCUGCGCCACUGGACCAGCCCCUAUUACUUAUUUCUUGAUCUCUUACUAUGGCCA